rnacentral:rRNA from 1 species
UACAGAGGUCUCAAGCGUUGUUCGGAUUCAUUGGGCGUAAAGGGUGUGUAGGUGGCAAGGCAAGUCGGGUGUGAAAGCCCCGGGCUCAACCCGGGAAGUGCAUUCGAUACUGCCAAGCUAGAGUCCCGGAGAGGAUGGUGGAACUCUCGGUGUAGAGGUGAAAUUCGUAGAUAUCGAGAAGAACACCGGUGGCGAAGGCGGCCAUCUGGACGGUGACUGACACUGAGACGCGAAAGCGUGGGGAGCAAACAGG